rnacentral:RNase_P_RNA from 1 species
GGAGUUGGCCAGACAAUCGCUGUAGUUCGCUAUAGAGGAAAGUCCGGGCUCCUUCGGACAGGGCGCCAGGUAACGCCUGGGGGGCGUGAGCCCAUGGAAAGUGCCACAGAAAAUAUACCGCCGGCCUUGGCCGGUAAGGGUGAAAAGGUGCGGUAAGAGCGCACCGCGCGACUGGUAACAGUUC